UUUCCGUAGGUGAACCUGCGGAAGGAUCAUUAUUGAAUUUAAUGUAGAGUUGGUUGUAGCUGGCCCAAAUUUAAUAUUCGGGCAUGUGCACACCUUCUCUUUCAUCCACACACACCUGUGCACCUGUGAGGCAGAAGUGGGACUUUUAAUUCAAUUUAAUUGGACCCUCUGUCUACUCAAUCCACACAAACUCAAUUUUUUUUUAAAUGAAUGUAACUGGAUGUAACGCAUUUAAUACUAAGUUUCAACAACGGAUCUCUUGGCUCUCGCAUCGAUGAAGAACGCAGC
rnacentral:misc_RNA from 1 species